rnacentral:rRNA from 1 species
AGAAUUGAUCUUGGUCAGGACGAACGCUGGCGGCGUGCUUAACACAUGCAAGUCGAGCGAUGAAGCUCUUCGGAAGUGGAUUAGCGGCGGACGGGUGAGUAACACGUGGGUAACCUGCCUCAUAGAGGGGAAUAGCCUUCCGAAAGGAAGAUUAAUACCGCAUAAGAUUGUAAUAUUGCAUGAUAUAGCAAUUAAAGGAGUAAUCCGCUAUGAGAUGGACCCGCGUCGCAUUAGCUAGUUGGUGAGGUAACGGCUCACCAAGGCGACGAUGCGUAGCCGACCUGAGAGGGUGAUCGGCCACAUUGGGACUGAGACACGGCCCAGACUCCUACGGGAGGCAGCAGUGGGGAAUAUUGCACAAUGGGGGAAACCCUGAUGCAGCAAACCGCCGCGUGAGUGAUGACGGUCUUCGGAUUGUAAAGCUCUGUCUUCAGGGACGAUAAUGACGGUACCUGAGGAGGAAGCCACGGCUAACUACGUGCCAGCAGCAGC